CACGUAGGGCGCAAGCGUUGUCCGGAAUUAUUGGGCGUAAAGAGCUCGUAGGCGGUCUGUUGCGUCCGCUGUGAAAAUCCAGGGCUCAACCCUGGACCUGCAUUCGAUACGGGCAGACUAGAGUUCGGUAGGGGAGACUGGAAUUCCUGGUGUAGCGGUGAAAUUCGUAGAUAUCGGGAGGAACACCGGUGGCGAAGGCGGCGACCUGGGUAGAUACUGACGCUGAGGCGCGAAAGCGUGGGGAGCAAACAGG
rnacentral:rRNA from 1 species